AUUGAACGCUGGCGGCAUGCCUAACACAUGCAAGUCGAGCGCGCGGCGGACGGGUGAGUAAUGUAUGGGGACCUGCCCGAUAACGGGGGAUAACUACUGGAAACGGUGGCUACUACCGCCUACUAUUGGCUGAGCCCAUAUGGGAUUCGCUAGUAGGUGGGGUAAAGGCUCCCCCAGGCGACGAUCCCUCGCUGGUCUGAGAGGAUGAUCAGCCACACUGGGACUGUGACACGGCCCAGACUCCUACGGGAGGCAGGAGUGGGGAAUAUUGCACAAUGGUCGCAAGCCUGAUGCAGCCAGGCCGCGUGUAUGAGGAAGGUCUUAGGGUUGUAAAGUACUUUCAGCAGGGAGGCGGUACCGGCAGAAGAAGCACCGGCUAACUACGUGCCAGCAGCCGCGGUAAUUC
rnacentral:rRNA from 1 species